UGACGCUGGCGGUUGCUUUACACCUGCAAGUCCUAACGGCAGCACGGACUUCGGUCUGGUGGCGAGUGGCGAACGGGUGAGUAAUGCAUCGGAACGUGCCCAUCUGUGGGGGAUAGCUCGGCGAAAGCCGGAUUAAUACCGCAUACGAUCUAUGGAUGAAAGCGGGGGACCUUCGGGCCUCGCGCAGAUGGAGCGGCCGAUGUUAGAUUAGGUAGUUGGUGGGGUAAAGGCUCACCAAGCCGACGAUCUAUAGCUGGUCUGAGAGGACGAUCAGCCACACUGGGACUGAGACACGGCCCAGACUCCUACGGGAGGCAGCAGUGGGGAAUUUUGGACAAUGGGCGAAAGCCUGAUCCAGCAAUACCGCGUGCAGGAAGAAGGCCCUCGGGUUGUAAACUGCUUUUGUACGGAACGAAAAGGUCCUGGCUAAUAUCUGGGGCUGAUGACGGUACCGUAAGAAUAAGCACCGGCUAACUACGUGCCAGCAGCCGCGGUAAUACGUAGGGUGCAAGCGUUAAUCGGAAUUACUGGGCGUACAAGCGUGCGCAGGCGGCUGUGUAAGACAGGUGUGAAAUCCCCGGGCUUAACCUGGGAACUGCAAUUGUGACUGGCAGACUAGAGUGAGGCAGAGGGGGAUGGAAUUCCGCGUGUAGCAGUGAAAUGCGUAGAUAUGCGGAGGAACACCGAUGGCGAAGGCA
rnacentral:rRNA from 1 species